ACGGGGGGUGCAAGCGUUACUCGGAAUCACUGGGCGUAAAGAGCAUGUAGGCGGAUUAAUAAGUUUGAAGUGAAAUCCUAUAGCUUAACUAUAGAACUGCUUUUAAAACUGGAAAUCUAGAAUGUAGGAGAGGUAGAUGGAAUUUCGAGUGUAGAGGUGAAAUCCGUAGAUAUUAGGAAGAACACCAAUGGCGAAGGCGGCCUACUGGAAUAGUAUUGACGCUGAGGUGCGAAAGCGUGGGGAGCAAACAG
rnacentral:rRNA from 1 species